rnacentral:rRNA from 1 species
UACAGAGGGUGCGAGCGUUAAUCGGAUUUACUGGGCGUAAAGCGUGCGUAGGCGGCUUUUUAAGUCGGAUGUGAAAUCCCUGAGCUUAACUUAGGAAUUGCAUUCGAUACUGGGAAGCUAGAGUAUGGGAGCGGAUGGUAGAAUUCCAGGUGUAGCGGUGAAAUGCGUAGAGAUCUGGAGGAAUACCGAUGGCGAAGGCAGCCAUCUGGCCUAAUACUGACGCUGAGGUACGAAAGCAUGGGGAGCAAACAGGAUUAGAAACCCCGGUAGUCC